AGUAUAUCCUUGUCCUACAACAAGCCACAGAUAUCGAAAAUCUGUAUUUGGGGAGAUAGGACACACUAUCAUUAACUUGUUAUCAUACCUUAGAAAUUACCAGUAUAUAAUACCACAUGGAGAUGGGAAAAAAGCUACAUAAAGAUACUGUCAAAGCGACAUAAUGAGGAUCAUAAGCCCUAUUGAUGGAAGGAAUUCCAAGUGAAAGGAUUUGUCAGGAAACUGAUUUUGAAUAAAACAGUGAAAUGUACAGAGGUGGAGUAUCUGGCAGGAAUGGGGGGACAGCCUCUCCCACAACUCUACUUGAAUGACCUAGAUAGUGCCCUGAUCCAAGUCAUUCACAACAGGACAUCAGACACCAGCAUUUUACCUCUGGUGAUGGAACUGAUCUUUUACUUGAUAGAGAGCCUCAGUUAGUGUGCGCCUCCACUGCUUGGUGGUAUCUGCAUGGAGGAUGGCCGAGUCUCUGAAAAUUUGGUAAAAUAAUCAAUCAACAG